rnacentral:rRNA from 1 species
UACGAGUGCUCCAAGCGUUAUCCGGAAUCAUUGGGCGUAAAGGGUGUGUAGGUGGUUGUGUUAGUCUUCUGUUAAAUUCUUCGGCUUAACCGGGGGCAUGCAGGGGAAACGGCAUAACUAGAGGAUGCGAGAGGUACAUGGAACUCAUGGAGUAGGGGUGAAAUCCGUUGAUAUCAUGGGGAACACCGAAAGCGAAGGCAAUGUACUGGCGCACUCCUGACACUGAGACACGACAGCAUGGGGAGCGAACGGG